rnacentral:rRNA from 1 species
GAUGAACGCUGGCGGCGUGCCUAACACAUGCAAGUCGAGCGAGAUGUUGUAACAUGAAGCUUCGGUAGAUUGUUACGACGGAAAGCGGCGGACGGGUGAGUAACGCGUAGGUAACCUGCCCUAUACAGAGGGAUAGCCACUGGAAACGGUGAUUAACACCUCAUAAGACUGAAGAUACUCAUGUAUCAGCGGCCAAAGAUUUUAUCGGUAUGGAAUGGACCUGCGUCUGAUUAGCUAGUUGGUGGGGUAACGGCUCACCAAGGCGACGAUCAGUAGCCGACCUGAGAGGGUGAUCGGCCACAUUGGAACUGAGACACGGUCCAA